GACGAACGCUGGCGGCGUGCUUAACACAUGCAAGUCGAGCGGUAAGGCCCUUUCGGGGGUACGACGAGCGGCGAACGGGUAGAGUAACACGUGGGUGGACCUCGCCCUCCAGCUCUGGGAGUAAGCCUGGGAAACCGGGUCUAAUACCGGAUAUGACUCCAUGACGCAUGUUGUGGGGUGGAAAGCCUUGUGCGGCUGAGGAUGGGCCCGCGGCCUAUCAGCUUGUUGGUGGGGUGAGGCC
rnacentral:rRNA from 1 species